AGUAGCCAGGGAUAAAUGAGCUCCACCCUCAUGGACUACAGAUCCAAGUUCCUGGAGUUGCAACCAAUUAGUGCUGGCACAAGAGGUACCUGUUUAACUUUGAAGAGCUUUAAAAACCUAGAAGUGUGUUCCUAAGGAUCUUCAGGAAAGAACACAGAGCAACCAACAAUGAUGUACAGUGACCUAUGAGGUCUCAUUCAAUUACAAAGCGAGUUAUAGGAAAAUCCAUCCCUUCGUUUACUCUGUCAUCCACUAAUUCUCACAAUUACAUAUUGAGGGACUACUAGGUAACAAAAGUUUGGGCUAAAGGUAGGUUUAUAUCAAAUCUGUUAUAAAAUGCACGUUGUUACAGGUAUUA
rnacentral:lncRNA from 1 species